rnacentral:lncRNA from 1 species
CUGUUAGAGAACGGUGCUAGCGAGCGCUUGCAAAGGUUUUGAUACCUAGUUACUUUGCAAGCAUCUUUUACAUUGUCUUUCUCUUUUGCAAAUACCAAUUGGCUAGUAUUUGCAAGGUAUGAAAGAAAAAUAAAUGUAACCAGUAAAGUACGGUGUGAUUUUCUUCUGACCAUUUCGGCGAAAGACCAAAGAAGAAGUAUUUGUGUGCUAGUUUGGUACUUAACAGUACAAAAAGAGGAUGGAGAAGUUAGGAAUGACCUUGUAGAGUUCUAGUGGAAUUAGAGAGCUGUAUGAUGAGGUUUAUAAAGAUAGGUUCC